rnacentral:rRNA from 1 species
UACAGAGGGUGCAAGCGUUAAUCGGAAUUACUGGGCGUAAAGCGUGCGCAGGCGGUGAUGUAAGCCAGUUGUGAAAUCCCCGGGCUCAACCUGGGAACUGCAUCUGUGACUGCAUCGCUGGAGUGCGGCAGAGGGGGAUGGAAUUCCGCGUGUAGCAGUGAAAUGCGUAGAUAUGCGGAGGAACACCGAUGGCGAAGGCAAUCCCCUGGGCCUGCACUGACGCUCAUGCACGAAAGCGUGGGGAGCAAACAGG